rnacentral:rRNA from 1 species
UACGAAGGGGGCUAGCGUUGCUCGGAAUUACUGGGCGUAAAGCGCACGUAGGCGGCUUUCUAAGUCGGGGGUGAAAUCCUGGAGCUCAACUCCAGAACUGCCUUCGAUACUGGAAAGCUCGAGUCCGGGAGAGGUGAGUGGAACUGCGAGUGUAGAGGUGAAAUUCGUAGAUAUUCGCAAGAACACCAGUGGCGAAGGCGGCUCACUGGCCCGGUACUGACGCUGGAGGUGACGAAAGCGUGGGGAGCAAACAGG